rnacentral:tRNA from 1 species
CCGCCCCUAGCUCAAUUGGUUAGAGCACGCGUCUUAUACACGCGCGGUUCCUGGUUCGAGUCCAGGGGGGCGGACAA